rnacentral:lncRNA from 1 species
AAGUAGGUGGCAGUCAAUAGGCAGUCCCCCCAAAAAGGAAUAGGAAAAUUGGAUUGGAAAAGUAAAGCUCUACAUGCUUCAAGAAGGGUUCUAUGUUUUCUUUCCACAACACCAUUUUGUUGAGGAGUAUGAGGACAAGUAGUUUGAUGAAUGAUGAGAAGGGUUCUAUGUUUUCUUUCCACAACACCAUAUUGUUGAGGAGUAUGAGGACAAAUAGUUUGAUGAAUGAUGCCUUGUUGAUUGAAGAAAGAGACACCAGCAAGGCUAGAACCUAAUUCAAAAGCAUUAUCGCUUCUGACAGUUUGGACAGUAGCAUUAAAUUGUGUUUUGACCAUACAUAUAAAGGACUUGAGAAGGCUGAAAGCAUUACUUUUAGACCCCAAUAAAUGUGUCCAGGUUGCUCUAGAAACAUCAUCAACUAUAGUGAGAAAAUAUUUACAACCAGAAGAAGUAGAGGUGUGAUAAGGGCCCCAAGUAUCCACAUGAAUAAGCUGGAAUGGCCUACAAGUACUGAUAGAACUGUCAGGAAAAGGUAAUCUAGUUUGCCUAGCCAUGGGACAAACAGAACAGGGAAAGGACUGUUUAGAAGCAAAAGGGAAAGAUAAAGCAGAAAUAUGUUAUUACUUUUAGACCCCAGUAAAUGUGUCCAGGUUGCUCUAGAAACAUCAUCAACUAUAGUGAGAAAAUAUUUACAACCAGAAGAAGUAGAGGUGUGAUAAGGGCCCCAAGUAUCCACAUGAAUAAGCUGGAAUGGCCUACAAGUACUGAUAGAACUGUCAGGAAAAGGUAAUCUAGUUUGCCUAGCCAUGGGACAAACAGAACAGGGAAAGGACUGUUUAGAAGCAAAAGGGAAAGAUAAAGCAGAAAUAUGUUUCAUGUGUGCAAAAGGGAUGUGAGCCAGUCUUAAAUGCCAAAUGUAGUUCAUGUCAUUAUCAUCAAAUUUAUUAUGACAAGUAGAACUAUUUACAUUGGAAGAUAAAGCAACAAGAUUUAGAUCAGAAUGGAAAGGGCUGUUUAGAAGCAAAAGGGAAAGAUAAAGCAGAAAUAUGUUUCAUGUAUGCAAAAGGGAUGUGAGCCAGUCUUAAAUGCCAAAUGUAGUUCAUGUCAUUAUCAUCAAAUUUAUUAUGACAAGUAGAACUAUUUACAUUGGAAGAUAAAGCAACAAGAUUUAGAUCAGAAGAACAAUCAAGAUCACAUGAAUCUUUAUUAGAGCAUACAGAAUUGAAAGAAGAACAAUCAGCAGAAGAAGAUAAAGGGGGCGCCCAAGCAAAUUUGUACAGACCAGCCUCCUCUUUACCAAGAUCCAGAGGCAUCUUCAGAGAAGGGGCCUGUAACAUGUGAAGAAAACAAGAAGUUGCAGUAAAUAGAACAAUACAGUGCAACUGUUUCACCAACUUGUGAAAUUGUGUUUGAAAGAAGGGACAAAUAGUACAUUAUGAAGAAUAAUGGAAGGAGUUAAAGCAAAAUAUCCAGUUGAAGUUACUUUUACUUUGUAUCCAUUAGGAAGGGUAACAAGAUAAGGUACAAGUAAAGGUGUGAUAUUGAAGAGUAAUUGUUUAUUAGAUGUCAUGUGGUCAGAAGCUCCAGAAUCUAUUAUCCAGGAAACAGAAGCAAUAUGAGUAAGC